rnacentral:rRNA from 1 species
GACGGAGGGUGCAAGCGUUAUUCGGAAUUAUUGGGCGUAAAGGGCGUGCAGGCGGCGGAUCAAGUCAGAGGUGAAAGCCCAGGGCUCAACCCUGGAAGUGCCUCUGAUACUGGUUCGCUUGAGUUCGGGAGAGGGAAGCGGAAUUCCGGGUGUAGAGGUGAAAUUCGUAGAUAUCCGGAGGAACACCGGUGGCGAAGGCGGCUUCCUGGACCGAAACUGACGCUGAGACGCGAAAGCGUGGGGAGCAAAC